rnacentral:misc_RNA from 1 species
GAAAUGCGAUAAGUAAUGUGAAUUGCAGAAUUCAGUGAAUCAUCGAAUCUUUGAACGCACCUUGCGCUCCUUGGUAUUCCUUGGAGCAUGCCUGUUUGAGUAUCAUGAAAUCUUCAAAGUAAAUCUUUUGUUAACUCAAUUGGCUCCUACUUUGGUAUUGGAGGUCUUUGCAGCUUCACACCUGCUCCUCUUUGUUCAUUAGCUGGAUCUCAGUGUUAUGCUUGGUUCCACUCGGCGUGAUAAGUUAUCUAUCGCUGAGGACACUGUAAAAGGUGGCCAAGGUAAAUGCAGAUGAACCGCUUCUAAUAGUCCAUUGACUUGGACAAUACUUUUAUGAUCUGAUCUCAAAUCAGGUAGGACUACCCGCUGAACUUAAGC